AAAAAAUUACUUAAGAUUGGAGCAAGUACAGUAUCUGUCUGCCCCCUAGUGUAAGAGUCCUCGCUGCCUAAAAAUGCAACUUUAAAAGAAAAGGACCUCUUAAAGGGAAACGACUUUGGGCUCACGUAGGCAAAGGAGAAUGAAACUUCUGUACAUUUUAAUCCGAAUCAUUCUCCAGGAUUUAAAAUUAAUUGGCUCUGGCUUGGUUGGACCGGCCUCGCAUCUCGCCACCUCUGCGCUUCCCGAGUCACUGGCUGGGAGCUGAUGAAUUUUUUUUUUUUUUUUUUUUUUUUUUUUUUUUGUGAACUGGGUUUAUGUGAGUCCCCCCUCACCCCCUCCUCUGCUCUUUUUUUUCUUUCUCUGUCUCUGUCGUCUCUCUCGCUGGCUUUUUAAAAAUGAGGACCCGUUCCCUGAGCGUUCUGGACAGAGCAAAGCAUUGCUUCCAAAGUCAGCCCGCCGCGGUGGCAAUAGACAGCCCCAAGGUACAGGUUUGCCUGCGAGCCGCGCGCCAGCUCCACCGCCCCGCCCGAUGGGAUCACCAAUCUUAACAAUGUUUUAGAAUCCAAGGCUCCAGAGUGGAAUUAAGAAGUUACGGAACCCUUGCGAGGAAGUUUGGAGAACACUGUUCCAACUUCCCACUGACCCCAGAGGUCUGGAGAUGGGCAGAUAUGGAUUCAGUCCUUUUUGGGAGCUGUCACUGCAAGGCAGUUUUCCCAGGUCUUAUUUCCUCUGGGAAUGGUCCGGUGCGGCCUGUCUGGAUGUCAGUGCGGACAGUUGAAGCACUGGCCUUCCUGGACCACCGGACACCUGGCAGAAAACCUGGAAGCCGCUCAUCCCCUGGGGAUUCCACUCGGCCGAAAACUGUACAAGAAUGAAAAAAAUGCACGACAUUUAUCACCAUGAAUCAAGGCUGUGCCCAGCAGUGUCAUUGGCUUGGUAAAAAAGAGCAAAGCUUCAAAAGAUUGUUUCAAAUAGGAUGGGAUAACCAGAAAGCAGUGGCUGGGAAGGAACAGCAGGGGCCACUUCAGAUCGCAUGGUCAGGGACAUGGCCAGCCAGGAUUCCUGUCUGAUACCCUCAGGAAGGUGACCCCAGCUUCUAACAGGAGCAACUUGCCUGCACAGUGUCACGGAGCAAUGACCUUGGGGCACCCAGUGCUCAGCGUAUCCAUGAGAGACAGCUUGGGCUUCUUUAUCACCUUCUCUUCCACUCCUAAGGACUUUCAGGUGGGUCUGCAUGUCCAGCUGAGUAGUUUUUGAGAACCUCCUCUGAAUACCAACGGGACCUUCUGUGUGUGCCUGGUCCCUCCCACUGUGCCAUCACUCUCUGCUGGGCUCAGCUGUUCUCCAUCACCAGUUACCAUGGAGAGUCAGAGUUGCUGCCACGGACGGCUCGACGGUGGGGUCCUUCGACAUCCGGCAUGGCGUGUGACAGACGGGGACACUCGCAAGGGCCGGGGCAGCCGGACAGGCUGGAGGACUAAGCGGGGCUGGCCUCAGGAGUAGUGGGAUGGUGGUGGUGGUGGUGGUGACGGCAGUGGCAGUGAGGACAACGGCUUUGUCUCCUGAUCGUUGGAAGUUUCUCAGCGGCUCUGAGUGGUAAACCUGUGACUUCAUCCCAAGUUCACAGAGGAGAAAACAGUCUUGCAGGCAGGGGCCUGCUGAUGUGUGACCUCUCAGAAGGAAUGAACUGGAAAUCCCGGCUUCUGUUUGAAUUUUCUUAAACAACAGACCCAGAAUCAAAACAGUGAAGAAAUUAAAGCUAUCUCCUUGCCAUGAAGCAGAUUCUAUCAUCAAAUAUACUCGUAUCACCGUCACAGUGCUUAUCCCCAAGAUGUCUCUGUGAUCACUUUUAUAUAACGGAGGCUGGGAUGAGGGGUGGCAUGUAAAACGAGUGUUUCAAUACCUUGGAUAAAGAACUUAGUACCCAGGACAUGGAAACUAUACAAGUACCCAUAAACAAAUGGAUGGAUAGAGAAGAUGUGAGGUGAUGAGACAUUUUCUGGCUGAGAGACAGACAUCCCAGAAAGGUGUCAAGUUAAAAGAGGGUUGAUGAAAAGAUCUGAGCCCAAGGCUGGCUUGGAGGAGGGUAAGCGAUUGAUUGCAUUUUCUUCUUACUGUUACAUUUGAGGGCAGGAUUGUGGUCAUCACCUCCUGCCCCACCCCACCCCUUCUAUGGAAGGUAUUAACCUGGGCCCUCUCUCCAACUGGAUCUUUGCCAUCCUGCCCUGGCUGCUCAGUGGCUUCCUCUAUGUAGGGAAAAUGGGAGAGCUGCAGUGACGGAGGCUCAAAGGGCGGUUGCCAAGAUCAGAGCCCUAAAACCUGCUCUAGGAUUUGACAAUCAACGGGGCUGGCAUCAUGGACUGGGCAUGUAAUUUUCCCUAUCUGUGUGUCCUCCAUUUGUAAAAUGGAGAUGACAGAAUUCUCUCUUGAAAUUGGGAAGAUGAAUGAUUUCAUGUUUUGUGAAGUGCUUUGAGAUUCUCAGAUGAAAGGUGUUACAUAAUAAUUAUAAAACACUUUGUUCUUACAUCGUGCCUUUUUUCCAGCAAGCUCAAACUACUUUACAAAAAUUAUUUCAUUAAUCCUCAUAGUAUCCCUCCGUGGCAGGUGGCAAUUAUUACCCUCCUUCAUAGCUCAGAAAUCAGGGACACAGAGAGAUAAAAUGACCUGGCCAAGGUAACACAGGAGGUUAUUGAUAAAAUUAUCAGUUGAAUUCAGGUCUCAUUCAUUGAUUCAUUGAUUCACUCACUCAUUCACCAGAUGUUUACCCAUAACUAUAGGCCAGACACUUGAACUACUUGAGAGGAUGUGGUUUAAAGGUAAAUAAAAAUGUUUUUCUCCUUCCUUCCU